UUCUUUUUACAAUCUUUUCUCAGGAAGGAAGUUGUGAUUUGGAAACUUUAACAACCCCAUUUUUCUCGCUCCAAUAAGCAAGGCGUCGUUACAAAUUUGAGUGCAAAAACUUGGCACAUGGCCUUCACGAAUCCAACGUUUCACGACAUUUCGUUAUGUGCUUUACUGGUAAACCCAAAUAAAAUCGUUCAACUAGGUCGGGAAAACCCUCGAAUUUGCAAUGUCGCUAUCGACGUACUGGUCGCAGUGUUGUUGUGCAAUGCUCGUUGCUCAAAAUGAAACUUUUAUUGUACUCAAUAAAUGGCGCCACUUUCUCGGCCGGUAAUUUCUAGGUUGGACGAAGGAAGACGAUGAACAUAACUGUGGUGCUUUUAUUUAAAAAAACAAACAUGUUGUGAAAACGAUGUUACGACAGGAGCUGUAGGCGUCGUUUUUAGCUUGGAACGGAUACAACAACACACUGUUCCAGUCAAACCCUGUAUAUACCAUUCCAUCAGGCGAUUCAGCCCCAAAUAAAAAAAAAAAGAAAAUGAUAAAACAUUUAGCAAGGUAACAAACUGACGAACUGUCUCCUAGUUUUAACAAUGUUUUCUUCUGCACGUCAAUCAACGAUUUACACAAGGGAAGAUUGUAAGAAUCAACUCAUUAUACAAGAAUGGAAGGAUCUGACUGGAAUGUGCUUGCACAUUUAGUAUGGAACCUUGAACCGUAUUAAAGAAACGCGUCAAUUUUUAUUUGGUCAUACGUGGAAAACAAAAACGUAAUUAUCUUAAAUUGAUAAUUAAAUUUCUAUUUUUUGUUUGGUUGUCGGUUAGUUUCUUUGACAUCGAUUUCAGGAUUUACCCGAUGGGACAAAUGAAAAACAGCGAUAAAAAAAAAGGGGGAACAAUCAUGAAUGACUUGGAAUUCAUGUCGUUUUGUGCCUGUGCUUAAUAUUUUCUUAUUCCCUCGUGUUCAUUAGACAGUUAUGUACUUGGUUUCUAUACAGAUUAGGGCACAAAGUGUUUGGUUUGCAUAAUUAGAGCUAAAGGGAGGGGUUUGUCCCGCUGAAUGUUUCAAAUAACAAAACUGAAGAAAAGCGGGCGAGACUAGUGAUAGUAAGGUCGGCCGGGAACCUGAGGACGAUCCUGUAGCCGCGGCGGAACGCUCGGCAUGGGUCUCCUAAACGGAAUCCAGGAAGAGUAAAUAAACACAAAAACCAAAAAUAAAUAAAGAAACGAGUCAAACUAGAGAGAAAUGAAAAUAACCUAUAAAAUAAUGUAAAUAAGUAGCUUUAAAAAUUACAAUCUAAAAAUCAACUACCAAGCAAAAACAAGCAAAAAUAAAUAAAUAAAAAAUACUGGUUAGUCAGAAAGAAAAAAAAGACGAAUAAAAUAAGAAAAAUGUGAAGACCACCGUUAUCAAGCAAACUCUGUAUAAAGCGGUCGUAGUUUUUAUUUCAGGUGAACUUUCAACAAAUUGUAUUCUGUAAAUGGAUUCAAGAGUUUAGCUCGGGGAGAGAUUCAGGUUAAAUGGAAACGAUGAUGGUAAAUUGGGAGGAAAACACAAUGUUUGUUCUUGUUUGUUUUUGUGGGUGGGCAAGCAUCUCAAAAACACGCGCACACAACACUUACACAAUCCCCCCCCCCCUCCUAUAAUAUGUAUAGAGAAAAAAAAAGAACAGAAAAAGAGAUUCUGGAAACAAGGAAACCAAAGUCGGAAUUGCUUUCAAUUUUUCGUUUUCCUUCUGUAAAAAUGAAGAGAAUCAAUUCAUCCGAUUUUAAAAUAAUAAAAAUAAUAAAAAGACUAACACUACUGUACAAAAGUUUUCGGGGGAACAGGAAUGGGUGUAGUGGCGGUGAUGAUUGGGGUAGGCGUCGUAACUCUGUUCUAUUAGCUAGCCCUUUUUGUUUUAAAACUUUCCAGUACUGAACAUCAAUCUGAUACUGUAACACACACUUCCGUGUACUAUUCAACUGGACUACGAACAGUUUUUAGUGUAGCGUGUCGGCACAAGGAAAAAAAAAAAAAACAUUUCCAAA